AGCUCACAAGCCCACUGCACUGAUGGCUUAAUGAACACAACGCAUCUUGGAGAAGUGUCCCCUCCAGGAAACGAGCAAUCAUACUCUAUAUUCAGCUCAGUACCUGCUGCUGAUCCAG